AGUUGUUCCACCAGCGUCGCCUUCUCGGCUUCGACGAUUUCCGCCCUAUCCUUCCAGACCGCCCGGAUGUCGUCGAAUCUCCGGUACUCGGCCUCCAACUUGGACAUGGUAUAGAUCAGCUGCAAGUAGAAGGCCGGUCGUCAGAAAAAUAAAAUGAUGAAAAUAAUAAUGGAGAGGAAAGAAAAAGAACUCACCCCGAUCAUGGUUGGGUAGAAGGAAGAGAGCAUCCCGGUCACCUGCCGACUCUUCAAGAGCUCCCGGUAGGCCAAGAAAAUGGUUGCCUGACACAAUCUCCUGAUCAAAUUGUGGUUGGCCAUAGCCGACGCUCCCUUGAAAACCCGAACGUCGGACGAUGCGACGUGGUCUGCCAACCUUGUGUCGUCCGCCGGCGCCAUCGGAGCCUUCCCUCGAUCAGUCACCUAG
rnacentral:lncRNA from 1 species